rnacentral:rRNA from 1 species
AUUGAACGCUGGCGGCAGGCUUAACACAUGCAAGUCGAGCGGGGUGAUGGUGCUUGCACUAUCACUUAGCGGCGGACGGGUGAGUAAUGCUUAGGAAUCUGCCUAUUAGUGGGGGACAACAUCUCGAAAGGGAUGCUAAUACCGCAUACGUCCUACGGGAGAAAGCGGGGGAUCACUUGUGACCUUGCGCUAAUAGAUGAGCCUAAGUCGGAUUAGCUAGUUGGUGGGGUAAAGGCCCACCAAGGCGACGAUCUGUAGCGGGUCUGAGAGGAUGAUCCGCCACACUGGGACUGGGACACGGCCCAGACUCCUACGGGAGGCAGCAGUGGGGAAUAUUGGACAAUGGGGGGAACCCUGAUCCAGCCAUGCCGCGUGUGUGAAGAAGGCCUUAUGGUUGUAAAGCACUUUAAGCGAGGAGGAGGCUCUUUUGGUUAAUACCUAAGAUGAGUGGACGUUACUCGCAGAAUAAGCACCGGCUAACUCUGUGCCAGCAGCCGCCGUAA